AUGGCCGGUGCACCCCCGGGGGGCUUCGUAUCGAGUCGCUCUGGACAAAGCUGGGAAACACAGUCCAGAGAGCAUCAGCCCACGGCCCCUGAAGUACAGAGCUCCACCAUCUAUCCAAGACCUCCAAUAAAUGUGCUGGACCCACUGGCUGUUUUCAAGAGACAAGUAUUACGGAAAGAACCCAGUCUCAACCACUUAAAAACCCGUGAGCGGCUGUAUUUUCCUGGCUGGUACACUCAGUCGCCUCCAUCUCACCACAAUGAGCAGCUAGGCAGGCUUCUUCACCAGUUGCCUGUCAGCUUCCCGCGUAUGCAAUCCACGACCAAGUUGUCCCAGGAUGUGGCGUCAACGCCUAGUCUCCCCAGAGGGCCAGUUUCAAUUAAGAGUGGUGGACACCUGGACAAAGUUGAAGUAUAUGAGUACAGUAAGGAUGACUAUUUGAUAAUCAGUGAUGGAUGA
rnacentral:lncRNA from 1 species